rnacentral:rRNA from 1 species
GACGAACGCUGGCGGCGUGCUUAACACAUGCAAGUCGAACGGAAAGGCCCUGCUUUUGUGGGGUGCCCGAGUGGCGAACGGGUGAGUAACACGUGAGUAACCUGCCCUUGACUUUGGGAUAACUUCAGGAAACUGGGGCUAAUACCGGAUAGGAGCUCCUGCUGCAUGGUGGGGGUUGGAAAGUUUCGGCGGUAGGGGAUGGACUCGCGGCUUAUCAGCUUGUUGGUGGGGUAGUGGCUUACCAAGGCUUUGACGGGUAGCCGGCCUGAGAGGGUGACCGGCCACAUUGGGACUGAGAUACGGCCCAGACUCCUACGGGAGGCAGCAGUGGGGAAUAUUGCACAAUGGGCGGAAGCCUGAUGCAGCAACGCCGCGUGCGGGAUGACGGCCUUCGGGUUGUAAACCGCUUUCGCCUGUGACGAAGCGUGAGUGACGGUAAUGGGUAAAGAAGCACCGGCUAACUACGUG